CUAUAGCCCCGUGGGUCGGCUACUUACAUAGAAAGUGGGAGAACCCAGUUCAAAUCUUCCCUCGGCCUGUUAAGAGGAGGCUUGGACAAGGAUGGAUCACCUCCCAGGUGAGGGAAGGGAUGCCGAAUAACGUUUAAACGUGAGGAGAUGGAGAAGAACUGCACCACUUCCAGCAUCAGCCGCCACCCUAGGGACGACCUUGCCUAAUGCAACACUAACCUCGUUAUCUCUAGACCAGGCCUGCACAACAUAGGGUGCGCGUGGGCUCACUGUGCGGCCCACGGGGGAUCCUGACUAACAGGGCUACCCCGCUGAUACUAAGCCCCCUCUGGAAGCCUGGCCGGCAGACCCCUGCUCUGUCAAUGGCAGACAGGGAAACGGAUCCCAACCCACCGGGACCAGCCCCCAGUCUCCCCCCGCCGGAUUCGCUCCCCUCCUGCACCUGGGAACAGCUGGAGCCCCAGCCCCUGCUCUCCCCGGCCAGCCCCGCCCAGGGAAAGGGGGGCCCGGGAAGCGCCCCCGACACUCACCCAGCGCUCCCCGGGAAAGCAGCGCGAGCACCAGCAGCGCCGAGAGACGCGGAGCCCAGCUCGGCCGAGGCAGCUCCAUGGCGCCCACCAGCACCGCAUUCGAGGACCACGCCCCGCCGCACACUGCGCAUGUGCGGAACCCCGCCGUCGCCGUCGCCUAUUGGAUGGCGCGUGCCAGGGCGUAGGGGGCCGCGGGCACGCGCAGUGCUGCUACAGCCGCAGCUAAAGGGGCGAGGGAGCGAGAGGCCGCAGCUGCGCGCGCAGCUUAGCCGAGGCGUGGCCGAGCUGCUUCCCCCAGGGGAGCCUGGG